CUCUCUCUCUCUCUCUCUCUCUCUCUCUCUCUCUCUCUCUCUCUCUCUCUCUCUCUCCUAAUCUAGCUGCAUCUCUCUUCUCUCUUUGGACAGAACCUACAAGACUGACACCGACACCUCUUGACAUGGAAAUACACUAAUGUAAUAGGCAGAAAGGAACACUGGGUUGCACCCCGUCGGUUCCAGGUGGCCUUAUUUGGGCGACUCGGUCCUGACCUUAUUUCUGUGAUGGAGGAUUCAGGCAUCCAGAGAGGCAUCUGGGAAGGAGAUGCCAAGGCUGUCCAACAAUGUCUGACAGACAUUUUUACCAGUGUGUAUACAACCUGUGAUAUCCCAGAGAAUGCCAUAUUCGGUCCCUGUGUUCUGAGCCAUACCUCCCUGUAUGACAGCAUAGCCUUCGUAGCCCUCAAGUCCACGGACAAGAGAACGGUACCUUACAUCUUCCGGGUAGACACUUCGGCGGCAAACGGUUCCUCUGAAGGUCUCAUGUGGCUGCGGCUGGUCCAAUCAGCCCGAGAUAAGGAAGAGCAGAAUCUCGAAGCUUAUAUAAAAAACGGACAGCUGUUCUACCGCUCUCUCCGCAGGAUUGCCAAAGAUGAAGAGUUGUUAGUUUGGUAUGGGAAAGAACUGACUGAGUUGCUCUUGCUCUGCCCGUCUAGAUCUCACAAAAUGAACGCGCAUUCACCUCGGUGUCGCAGCUGGGCGGCGGUGGCGGCGCGGGGACCGCGGGGACCGCGGGGAGUUCCGGGGGCGGCCAAGCGGCCGCGUCGGACGAGCGUAAGAGCGCCUUCUCGCAGCCCGCGCGCUCUUUCUCGCAGCUGUCCCCGCUGGUCCUGGGCCAGAAGCUGGGCGCGCUGGAACCCUGUCACCCGGGAGACGGCGUGGGUCCCACCAGACUCUACCAGGCCGCCGCUGAUCCGCUGGCUGUGAAGCUGCAGGGGGCCGCGGACCUGAACGGAGCCUGCGGGCCCCUGGCGAGCGGCGGCGGCGGCGGCUUGCCCAAGCAGAGCCCCUUCCUCUACGCCACCGCCUUCUGGCCCAAGAGUUCGGCUGCCGCUGCAGCCGCGGCGGCAGCGGCCGCGGGGCCCCUGCAGCUGCAACUGCCCUCGGCGCUCACCCUGCUGCCGCCCUCCUUCACCUCGCUGUGUCUGCCCGCGCAGAACUGGUGCGCCAAGUGCAACGCCUCCUUCCGCAUGACCUCCGACCUAGUGUACCACAUGCGGUCUCACCACAAAAAGGAGUAUGCCAUGGAGCCCCUGGUGAAGCGGCGGCGGGAGGAGAAACUCAAGUGCCCCAUUUGCAACGAGUCCUUCAGGGAGCGUCACCACCUGUCCAGGCACAUGACCUCGCAUAAUUGAUGCGUAAAAGACUCCGGCUUUCCACGCGUGUGCACGCACAGUCAAGCCACCUGCAGGAGCAGACACGCGAGGACAUCCACCACUACCUUAUGCCCCCAAACACUGCAACCAAACAUGUGCACACACAGGUCCCUCCCCUCGCCAGGAGCCUCAUCAUCCAAAUGUUUAAUUUUACACACACACACACACACACACACACACACACACACACACGGACGCACGCUUGCACGCGCGCGCACACACAGACAGGAUGGUGGAUUUUGGAUUGGGUGGGUUGUUUGAGGGGGUUUUCUUUUGAAUGCACGAAUUUUCACUUUCCCAAAAACAAAGGUACAUUUUAAAAAAUGUCAUAUAUUGCAACAUAUUGAUGCAUUUGUCAUACGUUUCUACUUAAAUUAUUAAGCACUUAUGGUUUAGAUGUAAUAAUUAUAUGUAAGGGCAAAGUUUAUUUUAGAUAUAAAGUAAUGAAGGAAGAUGAAAUGCUUUCUGCAUUUCCUGAUGACAGCUGUGUUCUUACAAAAAUAAACAAAAUGAAUAAAAAGGGGGUCACCAUUCAGUUUAAGUUUCCAGGGGGAAGUGCAUGUAUCAUGAAAUGAUUAUGGACUUCAGUGAAGAAUGUCAUCGAUGAUGUAAAUAUGUAUUUCCUUUUAAUACAAAGUGUAAUUUUGUGCCAGUGAAAUGGAGUCUGAAUAGUUAUGUGUUUCUUUUAUCCCUAAAAGAUUUAUUAAACUUUAUAGUUUAUCCAGGUAUGUUGGAUGCUUUGACAAUAAAUAACUAUUUUCCUCAAAGCAAAUAUUUGGAAAGUUUACAAACAUAUUUUUAGGUCAGUAUAAUACUUUGUGUAGUUAGUGCAGUUUCAUCAAUGCCUUGCAAAGGAGCGAAGAGACCACAGUCUCCUCCACAGGCAUUUGCUACAAGCCAGUUUUGACCCUAAGGGUGUUGAUUGUCACUUGAAGAUUCUUAAGCUGAAAGGUGUUGGGCUUAAUGAUUAAGGACAAAUCACUUAGGCACGGUAAUCACCAUGCAGGUAACCUGUCAGGACAAUGUCAGUGUCUUUUCCAGAAGGAAACAAUUAAUCUCCACACAAGUGACCAGCCUUUUGGACAGCAUCUGGAAUAACAGAUUUUUUUUUUUAAGCCCACUUUAGGAUCUAGUAGUGGUGCUUCUUCCAAAGGGCGUCCUACAUUCUAGAACUUUCAGCUUUCUGUCCUCCAUUAAGGACACCAUGGAGAAUUUGUCAAAUAGUACAGUUUGAAAGAUCAAGGUUUGAUGACAGUGUAUCAAAGGGCUCAGCCUCCACACCUGUACAUCUGAGAGUGAUACCAAGACAGAGAUGCCAAGGAACCGACUUGUUCUUUAUGAAAAGUCACUGUCACCUUCAGCUACUGUCUUCAGUUCUUAGAAAACAUCGUUGACCAAUGAGUCCUUUUAGGCAGCAACCUCACUCCCGCCCCCCACACCUCCCCCUCUCCCAGGAACAAACCUAUUUCUCCAUCAAUGGAACUAUAACCUCCCCCUCCUUUUCUGUUGAUUUCCCCCUUAUAUCUGAAGGACACUGUGAGUUGAUCUCUAGUGAGAACUGCACACACAUCUUCAAGGCUUUCCCAAAACUUUCCCUAAAGGACUUCAAAGCCUUCGUUGUGUUUAGGGCCACCAGACAGCAUUUAGAAGAGGGAGCCUGUAAAGAGUAGUUGGUGAAAAAGCUGUCUGUCUACCUUGGCGUCAUCCAAAUACUAUUUUGGUAUGAUCAUUCUUUGAGGCCUGCUUUCAAUUUUCCCACAUAGUCUGAUGAUUUUACACUCAACUUGCUCAAAAUGUUAAAAAAAAAAAAAAGAAUGGUCCCAAGUUUCCCAGGUUUUACCUCUGCUAAUGUCCACUAGUGUUCUCCUUGUUGACAUCAUUUGGUGUACCUGUGAAUUAUUUAUGUCUCCUAUAAAACCAGUGAAGCACGGUCGGUCCAGUGGUGUCUUCAAAUUACUUCUAGCACCGAAGAGGGUCUUUGGUUUGUUUGUUUUUUUGUUUGUUUGUUUUUUUUGUUUCCCAGUCAAACAAAUAAUUGAACCUAACAAGAGAUUUCUAGAAAAAGGCUAAGAUUAGUUGUGAGGAAAAACCGAACAGCUGGAACGCAGAAGGAUACUUAGGUGUGAAGAGAAAACGGUCCUUAGGUGAUGCUUAAAUCACGGUGUCCGACUGACUGGAACUCUCUGUGCUUGGGACACCACUGUACUACUGGGGGAAAAAAUCUGUUAAAAAUGAGCAA
rnacentral:lncRNA from 1 species